rnacentral:lncRNA from 1 species
CAAGUCAAGAUGAAUUCGUAAAUCAAUCUCACUUUUAUUGAAUAAACUUCAAUGAUACAGAAAUGGGAAAUGGCGGGAAAAGGGAAGAAGGGGAAGAAGAAUGCAGGAAGUAACUUGGGGAGGAAACAAGGAUAUUCUCCUUCUGGUUACAAAUUCAAAAAUGGAAUUCAAUCCUAACAAUUACAUAAUUUCCCUUUUAAUAGAAAACUAAUCUAACUAACUCCUCCCACUUGCUAAUGAAACGGAAUUGCAUGUGAGGAGGAAUCUUCUGGAUGGUCUGGUGCAAUCGUAGCAAGGAUGGCAUGAACCCAGAGAAGGCGUGUUUUCCAGUUCACGCCUCCUGCGUUCCUCGCGCCUUUCCCUUCCUUGCUUUCACGCCUUCGUCUUCUUGAUGAAAUGCUGAUGAUCGUUCUGCUUAGUUCACGUCUUCUUCAUCCCACUUCACGCCUGAUCACGUUUUCCUCUAUUUGUACUUCACGCCUUCUAUUUUCCUGUCCUUUGUUUCAUUACAAUACCUCCCCCUUAACUGCAAAUCUUGUCCUCAAGAUUGAAAUGUAGGGAACUGCGCUUUGAUCUCCUCAGCAUCCUCCCAGGUGGCUUCUGCAGGGUCUGUUCCCCACCAGUGGAUCAGCCAUUGAGUUACCGCAGCAUUCUUCUUUUUCACCAUUCUUCUGCCCAAAAUUGCCUCUGGUUCCACUCUCCAGUGCCCCUUCUCAUUUAUCUCUGGUAAAUGGAGGAUAGGAGUGACUCUGUUUCCUACCUUCCUUUUGAGCAAAGAUACAUGAAAGACAGGGUGGACUCUCGAGGAUUUUGGCAAACUCAACCUGUAAGCUACUUCCCCAAUCCUUUCCUCUACCUGAUAUGGGCCAUAAUACCUUGCUGACAGCUUAGUGUUUCCCCUCAGAGCCAUUGAGUUCUGUCUAUAAGGUUGUAGCCGUAGGUAUACCCAAUCACCCACACUGAACUCCCUCUCACUCCUUUUUUCAUUAGCAUACUUCUUCAUCCUUUCCUGAGCCUGUUGCAGGUUCUGUUUCAACAUGAUAUCCAGAUGCUGCCUUUCCCUGAGAUAUUCCCCUACUGCAUUUACCUUGGACUGCAGGUAGGGCCCUAGAGCCAGUUGUGGAGGUGAGAAUCCAUAUAAUGCUUCAAAAGGAGUCAUUUGAAUGGCUGUGUGGUGCGAGGUGUUGUACCACCAUUCUGAUAAGGACAACCACUGUUUCCAUCUCUUAGGUUCCACAUGAGUUAGGCACCUGAGGUACAUUUCAAGCACCUGGUUCACCCUCUCAGUCUGGCCAUCAGUCUGAGGGUGGUAAGCUGUGCUGUAAUUUAGUUUGGCCCCCAUCAUACUGAACAACUCCCCCCAGAAUUGGCUUACAAAUAUCUUAUCCCUGUCUGAGAGCAUGCUUUGAGGAAUCCCAUGAAGUUUACUGAUAUGGUCAAUAAAGAGUCUGGCCACCUUAGGGGCAUCAAAAGGAUGUGCCAGGCUGAUGAAGUGAGAGUAUUUGGUGAAUCUGUCUACUACAACCAUUAUGGUAUCUUUUCCUUCUGACCGUGGUAGCCCUUCAAUAAAAUCCAUGGUAACAUGGCUCCAGGAGUGUUGAGGGAUAGGGAGUGGCUGAAGCAAUCCUGGGUAGGCUACAUGUUCAUCUUUGCACUUUCUGCAGGUAUCACAUUCUAGGACUGCCUUCUUGAUUUCCCUGUACAUCCCUGGCCAGUAGAAUAGCUGCUUGGCCCUCAGGUAGCUAGCUUGGAUGCCUGAAUGGCCUCCCAGUUGAGAGUCAUGCAGUGCAGUAAUGAGUUUCUUCCUGGUGUCACCUUGUCCUCCUAUGGCAAGUCUCUUCUUGUAUCUGAGGAUACCAUCUUGAUAGGAGUAAUCUGGAGCUAGUGUAGGAGUCAGAAGCACCAGGGAUAUGGUCUUCUGAGCCCACUCGUCUCCCUUAUAGCUUUCUAUUACUUCUUUGAUCCAUUCAGGUACUGCACAGGAAAUGGCAGUGCAUUCUCCCACUUCUUCUCUGCCUUGUCUGGAUAGUGCAUCUGCAGCCAGGUUAUCUUUUCCCUUUUUGUAGUGAAUUUCGUAGCUCAAUCCUAGCAGCUUAGUGAGCCAUUUCUGUUGGAGAGGGGUAGUAAUCCUUUGAUCCAGUAAGUACUUUAAACUCUGAUGAUCAGUAUGUAUGAUGAAGUGAUGCCCUUCUAGGUAGUGUCUCCAUUUGGUUACUGCUGUCACCAAUGCUAACAAUUCCUUCUCAUAGAUGGAUAGUCCCAUGUUCUUUUGUCCCAGAGCUUGACUGAGGUAGGAAAUUGGUCUCCUGUUUUGCAUGAGUACAGCUCCUAUGCCAGAGUAGCAAGCAUCUGUCUCAAUUAUGAAUGGCUGAGUGAAAUCAGGCACUGCUAGAACAGGGGUGGUACACAUGGCCUUCUUUAGUGUUUGGAAAGCCUGUUCUGAGUCCUUAUUCCAGUGAAAAUUGUCCUUCUUCAACAGCUCAGUCAGUGGCCUUGCUAUGGCGCCAUAGCCUCUAACAAACCUUCUGUAAUAACCUGUCAGUCCCAGAAAUCCCCUCAGCUGUUUGAUAUUGGUUGGGAUUGGCCAUUGUUCCAUGCAUUCUAUCUUUCUGGGGUCAGCCUGAACUCCCUCUGCUGUUAUUAUAUGCCCUAGGUACUCUACCUGCAGUUGAGCAAACGAGCAUUUGCUCAUUUUAGCAUAUAACUGGUGCUGUCUUAAGAUACUCAUUACCUCCUCUACAUGCUUCACAUGCUCCUCCAGUGUUGAGCUGUAGAUCAGGAUGUCAUCAAAAAACACCAGUACAUGCUUCCUCAUCUGAUCUUGGAAGACCUGGUUCAUCAAGCUUUGAAAAGUUGCUGGGGCAUUGGUUAAGCCAAAUGGCAUAACCUUGAACUCAUAAAGCCCUUGGUGAGUUCUGAAGGCUGUUUUUGAAAUGUCCUCCUCUUUGACUCUGAUUUGAAAGUAACCUGCCCUCAGGUCAAUUUUGGUGAAGAACUUGGCUCCAUGCAAUUCGUCUAUCAAUUCAUCAAUCAGAGGCAUAGGAAACUUGUUUUUCACUGUAAGUUCGUUUAGUUGCCUAUAAUCAACACAGAACCUCCAUGUCCCAUCUUUCUUCUUAACUAGUAGUACUGGUGAGGCAAAGGCUGCUAGGCUGUAUGAUGCCUAGUUCUAGCAUCUCCCUUACCAGUCUCUCAAUUUCUGUUUUCUGGAUGUAGGGGCACCUGUAUGGUCUUACUUGAAAAGGUUUGGCUCCUUCCUUAAGGUCAAUCUGGUGUUCAUGGCCCCUGGUUGGAGGCAUUCCCUUGGGCUCCUCGAAGACAUCCCUGUAAUGUUCAAGUACCUGUCUGAUCUCAGCAGGCAGCUGUGUUGCACUUCCUUCUUCUUCUACUGCCACCAGUUGAGCCACCACUCCAUAUGACUGUUUCCUCAGCCAUUUUGCCAACCUUCCUCCAUUGAGCCCCUUCAGUUUGGUGAUGUCCCCCUCCCCUUGUAGCACCACUUCUUGUCUCCCAUGGUGGAUUUUCAUACUGAGUUCUCUGAAAUUAAACUCUAUAGGACUAUGUUUGGCCAACCAGUCUACCCCAAGGAUCAUGUCGCAGCCCCCCAGCCUUAAUGUGUUGAAGGCAUGUUGGAACUGGUGACCCUUCAUUUCCCACUGUAAGGGCUUAUCUAGUCCCUUGGAAUCCACCUUCUCUCCAUUAGCUACAUUGACAACCAGGUUUGGUCCCUGAGUACCUAGUUUAAGAUCCCUUGUCAGUUGCUCAUCCAAAAAACAGUGGGUACUUCCACUGUCUAUUAAUGCAGUGACCAGUCUCCCUUUAACAAGACCCUUUAAUUUCAUAGUCCUGUGGCUUGUUCCCCCAGCCAAAGCAUGAAUAGAUACUUCCAUGUGUUCAUCUGUCAGUUCCCCAUUAAUGCAAUCACAGUAGACAUCCUCUUCUGGCUCUCUGACCUCUUCCCUAGACUCAGUCUCCUCAGCUAACAGGAAAUGCACAUGUGAUUGUUUGCAUACAUGGCCCAGGGUGUAAGGUUCAGCACACUUAUAACAUAGCCCCUUCUCUCUUCUCAGGUUAAAUUCUGUAGGGGAUAUUCUUUUGAAUUGGUUCUGGUUGGAUGUUUUCUGGUCAUGGUUCUGGUUGGUGUGUUUUGGGUGGUUUUGGUUCCAUCUGAGGGCUGGGGUUAUUUUAUUGGGAGGUCUAUGGUUGCUGAAACUGGUAGUAGCAGGUUUCUGCAUUUUCUGGAUAGCUUUGAGGUUUUUCUCUUGGAGUUUUGCUAUUUCAAUAGCAACAGCUAAGGUGUCAGGUUUGGACAUUUUGACCAUAUUAACUAUCUCCUCUUUCAGACCACUCAUGAAGCAUGCUUUGUAAUAAGAAUCAGACAAGUGAGGUAAGGAUGGCAUUACCAGGGCUUUAAGCAUUUCAAAUUUCUCGAGAUAGUCAGCCACGGAUCCAGUCUGCACCAACUUGUUGAAUUCUUCAAUGGCCUCCUCUGGACUCCCCUCUCCAAAUCUGAUGCUCAUAGCAGUAGACAACUCUGUCCAGGGAAUGGUCUCUCUCCCAUGGAAGACUCCAUGGAACCAGAUAUCAGCUCUGUCCCUGAAAUAGAGCUCAGCUACCUCCGCCUUCAUGUUCUCCUCUAUCUCAUGUAAUUUGAAGUAUUUGUUAGCCUUCCUGAUCCACUCUCUGGGGUUAUCCCCAUCGAAAAUUGGCAAAUCUAUUUUAGGCAAUCUUCCACUAACUCUGAUAUCUCUUUUACUGACUGUCUCCUUCUGCAAAUCCAUCCUGGAUUCGUUUGGCCUAUCCUCUCCCUUUGAACUGCUGCUUCCUUCUAACUCUUUUCCUCGAUCGCUGACUUUGGCCACUAGUUGAGCCAUCAUAUUCAUCAUCCCCUCAUACUUUUGAUCCAAACCUUUGAGCAGUUUUUCAGUAGCAUCCUGUCUGAAUUCCAUUGUCCUGAUGGCCUGUUCCAUUCCAUCAUUUUUGUUGGAAAAAGUCCUGACCACACUUCCUAGCUCCACCACGUCUCUCCUCAACGCUUCGUCUUGGUUUUUUGUCAUCCCUAUGGCUCGUGAUCGAGCUCUGAUACCACUGUUGUGGUACAGAACUGGAAAAUGAUGCAGGAACUGGAAAUAAUGGAAACUAAUCCAAAAGUAAGAUCUGGACUCAAGUCAAGAUGAAUUCGUAAAUCAAUCUCACUUUUAUUGAAUAAACUUCAAUGAUACAGAAAUGGGAAAUGGCGGGAAAAGGGAAGAAGGGGAAGAAGAAUGCAGGAAGUAACUUGGGGAGGAAACAAGGAUAUUCUCCUUCUGGUUACAAAUUCAAAAAUGGAAUUCAAUCCUAACAAUUACAUAAUUUCCCUUUUAAUAGAAAACUAAUCUAACUAACUCCUCCCACUUGCUAAUGAAACGGAAUUGCAUGUGAGGAGGAAUCUUCUGGAUGGUCUGGUGCAAUCGUAGCAAGGAUGGCAUGAACCCAGAGAAGGCGUGUUUUCCAGUUCACGCCUCCUGUGUUCCUCGCGCCUUUCCCUUCCUUGCUUUCACGCCUUCGUCUUCUUGAUGAAAUGCUGAUGAUCGUUCUGCUUAGUUCACGUCUUCUUCAUCCCACUUCACGCCUGAUC